rnacentral:rRNA from 1 species
GACGAACGCUGGCGGCGUGCCUAAUACAUGCAAGUAGGACGCAGUUGCGAACGGGUGAGUAACGCGUAGGUAACUACUUCUCAGAGGGGGAUAAUUAUUGGAAACGAUAGCUAAUACCGCCUACUAGUAGAUGGACCUGCGUUGUAUUAGCUAGUAGGUAGGGUAAUGGCCUACCUAGGCAAAGAUACAUAGCCGACCUGGGUGGGGGAUCGGGCACACUGGGACUGGAACACGGCCCAGACUCCAACUGGAAGCAGCAGUAGGGGAGCUGCGGAAAUGGGGGGAGGCCUUACCGUGCAACGCCGCGUGAGUGAAGAAGGUUUUCGGAUCGUAAGGCUCUGUUGUUAAGGAAGCGGUACUUAACCAGAAAGGGACGGCUAACUACGUGCCAGCAGCCGCGGUAAUUC